rnacentral:siRNA from 1 species
AGGCAGCCUAAAACACCUUGCCGC